UAUUGCGCAAUGGGCGAAAGCCUGACGCAGCGACGCCGCGUGGGGGAUGAAGGUCUUCGGAUUGUAAACCCCUUUCGGGAGGGAAGAUGGAAUGGGGUAACCCAUUCGGACGGUACCUCCAGAAGCAGCCACGGCUAACUUCGUGCCAGCAGCCGCGGUAAUACGAAGGUGGCAAGCGUUAUUCGGAUUUACUGGGCGACAGGGAGCGUAGGCGGUUUGGUAAGCCCUCUGUGAAAUCUCCAGGCUUAACCUGGAAAAGUCGGAGGGGACUGCUGGGCUAGAGGACGGGAGAGGAGCGCGGAAUUCCCCGGUGAAGCGGUGAAAUGCGUAGAGAUCGGGAGGAAGGCCGGUGGCGAAGCCGGCGCUCUGGAAUAGUCACUGACGCUCAUGCACG
rnacentral:rRNA from 1 species